UUCCCUCUCUGUGCGUUCCAAAAAAAUUAGGGUUCUGUGUUGACAUGAAAUUAGGGAUUUUGUUUGAAAUAAGGGUUUCAAGAGGAUGUGAAUUCUGGUUUUUCUUUUUAAAAUUAGGGUUCCAAUAACCAAGCUUUGCUUUAUUUGGUAUACCGAAUCACAUCCUUUUUCCUCUACAUUCACGGUUGAUUUGAUUUUUUAUCUACCUGGUUAAUAUUAGGGGUUUUGAUUUUAUAAUUUACUGGAACCUUGGGAGCUGGGGCUAUUGGGAUCAAGGACGCGCGAUAGGAUUUGCUAUGGUUUUGAUCUUUUGCAAGUUCAUACUUUGGAUUUUUCAUUCAACUUGUGGGAAGUUUGUGCUUUUGACAUAAAUUGAAAAUUUCUGUUUCACUGCGAAGUGGGUUGUCGUUUAUCUAUGCUACUAGACUACAUGUCAAAUCGUAAUGUGGAAUGUGAAAAAGAUAUUGCAGUUGUCAGCUAUUGUAUAUUUUCGUUCAUUUUUAGCUUAGUUGUGCUUGUUUUGCCUUGCCCAUGUUGUCCGAUAAGCAUGUGCUUGAUAGACUUUGUGAGCUGCUUAUGGUUGAUGGAGUUGGGAAAUGAUGAAUUGGUGUCUUGAUUUGAAGUUAGUAAUUCAGAGGAAGUUGUCAAUUCGAGUUUACGCGCUAGAGAGCAAAGGGUUUUGUAUGGUUGUGAAGUUAUUGAAUUCAUUUUGGUUCCGUAUGGCUGAAACAUGGAUUUGUAGUUCAAGCUUCAAAUGUUGAAAGAGAAGAAGUGAAUUCGAGUAUGAAGGAGUUCGGCCGUGCCUUCACAUCUCAGGGGUAAUGAACUUGAUUACUACAAUUAUUGGGUUUGGGAUGAGUGCCAGUUUCAUUGAGUUUGUCUGUAUCAGAUUGCUCUGUGGAAGACUCAAAGGAGUUGAGUCUUGGCAAAUGAUUGAGAUCGACUCAGGGAUUGAUCUUAAGCAGUGUUGCAAUGGCAAAUAGUAGCGGCGCUAGCUGUAGCUGUUAGGGAACGCAAAGGAGACUUUGUCUUUGUUCCGUGUGUCCAUUGCAAAAUCAAUGGCAGAAGUUUUACUCAAAGUUGAGACACCUUCACCAUGACUUCAGAUUUGCUCAAGCAGUAUGGAAACUCUCUCCACUUUGUAUGGACUCUGCAAGGAAGGGGAGAGGAUUUUUGGGAUUGGUUCACAGUAGUGGUGAAGAAGAAUCCAGGAGAUCACUGGCGUGUGCAAUUAUUUGGAAGUGCAGAAAUGAUGCCCAUUUUUCUUACCGUUAGUGUGAUCAUGUGGUGGUAGUCAAUAUUGCGUGCAAGGACUCGACUAUUUUUUUGGAUGCAAACAAGCCCAUUGAACUGCCGAGGAUGGAUACGGGGUGGGAACCAGUGAAUGAGCCUUACAGAUGAAGUCCUCUAGUAGAUGGGAUUAUCAAAGAUUAAUUUUGAUGCAAGGGAGGAUGUCCAGAGUCAUCAAGGUGGUGUGGGUUUGGAAGGGCGAGAGGCUCUUUUUGGCAGCUAGAUGUUUGGCUCUGAAUGGUUUCUCUACUCCACUGGUUGCUAAAGCAAUAGCAGCUAGGGAAGGCCUAUUUUUGCAUUUGAGCUGGGGUUUACGUGUAUUCAGAUUGAAGGGGAUUCCUUAAGCUUUAUUCGAAUGGUUAAAGCUCUAUUCACUGUGAUGCUGAAGUUCUUGAGGAAGAUGUCCGGAGAUUGGCGUGUGACUUUUUGGUUGUGUGAAUUUAGUUUUAUUAAACAUAGUAGUAAUAGUGUUGCUCAUUGUUUAGCUUGUCGGGGUUAUGGUUGUUUAGGUACUUCCACCUGGGAAGCCUAUCUGCCGUUGUGGCUAUCCACCCCUUUGUUUAAGGAUGGAUACGCCCAUUGAUGUUUGGUUCACAUCUUUUUAUCAAUGAAUGGAUUAUCCGUUAGAAAAAAAUUAAAAAAAAUGCUCAAAACAACUAUACAGUUUUGAAAAAUUGUACUGAGCACGCGAUUCGUGCAAAGCACGUCG